rnacentral:rRNA from 1 species
GACGGAGGGGGCAAGCGUUGUUCGGAAUUAUUGGGCGUAAAGGGCGCGUAGGCGGAUCUGUGUGUCUGGCGUGAAAUCUCCACCACUUAUCGGGGAGAGGUCGCUGGAAACUGCAGAUCUGGAGUUUGUUAGAGGACCAUGGAAUUCCAGGUGUAGCGGUGGAAUGCGUAGAUAUCUGGAAGAACACCGGUGGCGAAGGCGGUGGUCUGGGACAAAACUGACGCUGAGGCGCGAAAGCCAGGGGAGCAAACAGG